GUUCCCUCCAGGAUGCCCCACAGAGUGAGCCCUUAAGGCCAUCAGGGUCUGGCAGUGUUGAGAGUAUGAAACUUUUGGGAGAGAGUCCUGGAGUGCUAGGAGAGGACGCAGCAGUUGGCCGUUGGGGAGGCAGUUGGGGAAAGUUCCAGGAAGUUCCAGGGAGCAUCUAACAUGGAGUGGGAUACACUGUGAGACAGGCAGAAGAGGCACCAGGGAUGCACAAAGAGAAGGCUGUGGAAAAAAAAUAGAGAAACCAUUGAAACCAGAGUCCCAGAUGGACACAAACAGUAUAGAGCAAAAGGCACAGACACCUAGAGUAGAGAGGUGGGAUCAGGAAUCUUACUUGGAGUGAAGCAAGAGCCUCUUCUCCAACAAGUGUGGCCUGGAGCCUCAGAAGAUUGCAGAAGAACAACACUUGUUCAAACCCAGGAGCUCCCAAGACUAUGUAGACUGUCUUCAUCAGGUAAUGUUCUACCAAAAUGGUCAGUUGAAGCUUCUGUAACAGGUGAUCAAGCCCAAGGCAAGUCCCUGGCUUUCAGGAUUUGGGUUUCCUGCUGUGUUAAAUGAUCACAUCUGGGACCACAACCUUAAUAUCCUUCUGGAAAAUUCUUUCCAGGAAAUUCAAGAAGUUAGUGGAAAUCCAGACAUCCGAAAUGAAUUACGUCAUAGUCUCUGAGGUUACAGCCUAGACAUCAGUAUUUUCAAAGUUCUUCUCAUGGGAUUCUAAUGAGCAGCCAGGCCUGAGAAAUGCUGUAUUAAACAUACAUCGGUGGUAGGCAUUUGCGAGAUGCAAAGGUAUGAACAUGAAUGAGAUUCAGAUCCUGCUUCUGAUGAGCUCAAGGCUGAGCAAUGAACAUAAGCAUCAAAUAUACUGCAAUGACAAAAUCGCCAACAGUGUGCUGAGUUUGGCCAUGGAAGCAUCCCUAGGGCAAAGAGGAAGGGGUGUUAGUUAUGUGCUUUAUUUUACGUAUCCUAUGAUGGUUUGCUGUCGUAAGGACCUUACUGGUUGGGGAGAGAUGGCCCCUUCCAGGGUUGACUGAUUCUUAGAGAUUGUGAACAACUCACCUUGGAACGCACCUUUCAUAUGCAAACCAACAAUCUUGAGUCCAUACCCUCCAACAACCUUCUUCAUCUAGCCCUCACCCACUGAGCUAAUAAACAACCUCUGCCCUACACCACCUGAAGGCCAGGCAUCAGGCAACUGGACACCACCUGCCUAGCUCAGAGCAUGCUGGCAUUAUUCAAACUAGCCAGUCUUAAGCUGUUUACCCUGCCUCACCCCUUCCUUCCUCCAGGAAACAUAAUAAAGGCUCUGGGACAGGUGUUUCCCUCAUCCCUCUGCCUUCUGAUUGGUCCCAGUGCUUUCCCAGGUGUGUGGUAUGCCCCUUUCUUUCUCUUGAAAAUAGUAAAUAAUAAAUUUUUUCAAUGGCA